ensembl:snoRNA
GGUAUAAAUGAUGAAUGUCUCUGCGGAUGCCACUGUGGGCAGUGCCGAUAAUGCCAAUGGCUUAGCUGAUGCCAGGAA